rnacentral:lncRNA from 1 species
UUUGAAUUGUUUAAUUUUCUCGGGCGAUGACUACUCACACCAGCAUUCUUCGCGGGCACAAAGCUAUGACGACUGACGUUUCAAAAUGGCGGGUAUUAUUUGGCUUUAAAGUAAUUUAACUCGUAAACGACAUUACUUUAAAGGCAAAACUUCCGCCAUCUUGAAAUGUCAUCGUUGCCAAUAGCAACGGCACUUGGUGUUGUUUAUCUGUGAGAUACUUUUUGUUUUCCAACAUGUAAUAAUUGUCCAAAAAUGUGGAUUUAAAUCGUGCAUUUUCUGGGUUUUUUUUUAACUGUAUGGAGCCACAGUAUACAUACUCUUUUACUAUGUUAUCGUGUAUGACUAAUGACGUCUUUUUCUUUUGAAAGGUGACUGAAGCAACAGAAAUGUCAACUGAUAUCAUGAAACUCAGUUAGCCUAUAUUAUAGCAGUAUCUCUUGUGACCUAUGUAGUUAUUCAGAUAUUUGUAGAAUAAUUUUGUUUCCUGUAAAAGAUACCUGAUUAAAUGUUUGAUUUGACAACUGAGCCAAAGAGUCUCUAAAUUUCCUUACGUUCCUCAAUCCUCAUCCCUACACCUCUGGGCCAAGCUACGUUUCUCUUCGAACCGUGGUGGCAUUCCCUUCCAUACGCCCUUUCGAAUAUGAACCUUUUGCAUUUUCAGUAACGUGCUCACGAAAGUGGUUGAAAAU